rnacentral:misc_RNA from 1 species
GCAAACUUGGUCAUUUAGAGGAAGUAAAAGUCGUAACAAGGUUUCCGUAGGUGAACCUGCGGAAGGAUCAUUAUCGAGUGUGGGUUCGUUUGAGCCCUAUCUCCCACCCGUGUUUACCGUGACCCUGUUGCUUUGGCGGGCCCACUGGGACCCCGGUCGCCGGGGGGCUGCUGCCCCCGGGCCUGCGCCCGCCGAAGCGCCUGUGAACCCUGCAUGAAUAGUGAGUCUGAGUGAGAGAUUGAAUCAUGAAAACUUUCAACAACGGAUCUCUUGGUUCCGGCAUCGAUGAAGAACGCAGC